rnacentral:lncRNA from 1 species
UUUCAGGGAAGGGAUCACAUCCUCCUCCAUCAUCUGAGGUAGAGGCUUAACAGGUGCUUUAGCUGGAGGUUUUUUUGCCGGUGCAGCUUUUGGAGCUUCCUUUACCUCCUCUUUUGUUUCAGCAGUAGCUAAGACCAGAAAUUUCAGUAACAGUUUCAAUUAGACUAAUCACAGUCACCCCAAUGAAAAAUUUUAGCAAAUAAAAGAAUCAAACCAAAGAGUUUUAAAACUUUUCAUCAUGUUAAUGCAGAAAUUCACCUGCUGUUGUGCUAGGAGACGACUCUUGAACAGCAGAGCAGGUGAUUCUGUUUCUGCUUGAUGUUUUAUAUUUACUUGCAAUCUGCAACGCAGGAAGAACAAAUAUUGAAAAAAAUCUUCACAGCACUUUAUAUUUCAGUUGUGUUAGUUCAUUACAGUAUUAUCUCAUCCAAUACUUAAAAGUGAAAGCUGUAACUAAAAAUUAGUCCUUGGAUAAUAUUACAAGUGAAAAUUUUCUUAAUAGAUUAAAUUUGAGGUUAAGUUGAAUAAUCAGAGAGACAUACCAAAGGAGAUGAUGAUGAUGAUGAGGUGGGUAUGGCAACAUUCUGAGAGACAUGCAAAGAAGAAGUUGAUGGUAAUGAACACAAACGAAAGCUAGAAUCACCAAGUGCUCCACCUCUUAACAAAGUUGCCAUUUGCAUUCUUUCUCUCUUGAUGCUUUGAUUAUGUUCUUUUACUUUUCUUUUCUUCUUUUUUUCUGGUUAGUCACCAACCAUUUUUUUUUUCUUUCAGUG